CCUACGGGUGGCAGCAGUAGGGAAUCUUCGGCAAUGGACGGAAGUCUGACCGAGCAACGCCGCGUGAGUGAAGAAGGUUUUCGGAUCGUAAAGCUCUGUUGUAAGAGAAGAACGAGUGUGAGAGUGGAAAGUUCACACUGUGACGGUAUCUUACCAGAAAGGGACGGCUAACUACGCGCCAGCAGCCGCGGUAAUACGUAGGUCCCGAGCGUUGUCCGGAUUUAUUGGGCGUAAAGCGAGCGCAGGCGGUUAGAUAAGUCUGAAGUUAAAGGCUGUGGCUUAACCAUAGUACGCUUUGGAAACUGUUUAACUUGAGUGCAAGAGGGGAGAGUGGAAUUCCAUGUGUAGCGGUGAAAUGCGUAGAUAUAUGGAGGAACACCGGUGGCGAAAGCGGCUCUCUGGCUUGUAACUGACGCUGAGGCUCGAAAGCGUGGGGAGCAAACAGGAUUAGAUACCCUGGUAGUC
rnacentral:rRNA from 1 species